GGGCGAUUAGCUCAGUGGUAGAGCGACUCGUUUACACCGAGUAGGCCCAAGGUUCGAUCCCUUGAUCGCCCA
rnacentral:tRNA from 1 species